rnacentral:tRNA from 1 species
GCACCGGUGGCCUGGAAAUGGUCGAGACUGCGUCGAUACCAUGUCGAGGUCGCCGCGGCGUUCGGCGAGGAAACCGCGGAUCUUCCAGCCGAUUCCCGCCCGGUGCG